CCUACGGGAGGCAGCAGUGAGGAAUAUUGGUCAAUGGGCGGGAGCCUGAACCAGCCAAGUCGCGUGAGGGAAGACGGUCCUAUGGAUUGUAAACCUCUUUAGGCGGGGAGCAAUGCCGGGCACGCGUGCCCGGAGGGAGAGUACCCGUAGAAUAAGCAUCGGCUAACUCCGUGUCAGCAGCCGCGGUAAUACGGAGGUUGCGAGCGUUAUCCGGAUUUAGUGGGUGUAAAGGGUGCGUAGGCGGAUUUUUAAGUUAGCGGUAAAAUGUCCGGGCUCAACCCGGGCCGGCCGUUGAAACUGGCGUUCUUGAGUGAACGAGAGGUAUGCGGAAUGCGUGGUGUAGCGGUGAAAUGCAUAGAUAUCACGAAGAACUCCGAUUGCGAAGGCAGCAUACCGGCGCCCGACUGACGCUGAGGCACGAAAGCGUGGGGAUCGAACAGGAUUAGAUACCCCUGUAGUC
rnacentral:rRNA from 1 species